rnacentral:lncRNA from 1 species
AUGUUCAUGAGGGCGCGUCCCUUGGCACCCCUGUAGCCGCUAUGUUUCCCACGCCCGUGGCAGGCCUGAGAGAUUAUGUUUGCGGGGGGUGCUUUUUUUGUAGCUUCUGUGUUCGCCAUAUUUGAAAGGGGCAGACGGCCAUGUUCGUGAACGGCGCUUCCCUUGGUGCACCUGUGGCCGCCAUGUUUGAGCGAGGGGGCCCUUCCUGGAUGCUCCCCCGCCCCCUACAUUCAAUCUGCCGGUUGCUGCUUUUUUAGUGUUCUGCACUCUUCUACCAGGACCCCGUGGCAGGCCAGGACCGUUUCUCCGGUGCUAUCCCAGAGCAUGGCGCAUCCACUCAUUCACUCAAGCCCACCCUCUCCUAUCCUCUCGGUCCACCCGACUUAGCUGGGCAAAAAUAACCCUGUGGUAGGACAGCCGUCUGCUGUUGGAAAGUAUCGCAGCUCCUCCCGUGUCUGCCCCGUGCACAUGUGCCAAGGUCCUGCCUUGAAUGAAGGACACAGCGGAGAAGGAUGUAGGCUCUGAGCCUGCUAGGGUGCCUGAGAGACUCACAGGACUACCCCUGGGGCAGUUGGAAGAUGCCCAGAAACUUCAGGGAGCCACCAGCAUGGGGCAGAGGGUCUCUUCUGGAGUUGGUGGCAUCAGAAUCAGGUGUAGAGUACAUAGGAACUGUUGGCGCCGUGCAGAGAUGGGGAAGGAGGUGCCGGUGGAAGGGCCCAAUGCCUGCGCCCCUGGGGCCCUCACUGGAGGCUGAGCAUCCACUGGACUCUUGUAGCCCGCUUUGUAGACUGAUCAGUAGUCUGUGACAUGACGAUGUUUGAGUAGAGUAGACCAUUUUCUGCUUCAUAUAUCCUACAACGUGCUGGGAUCAGGAGGCAGUGGUGGGUCCAUGGCAUCUGACCCAGCCCGACGCCCUUGUGGUCUCCAGGCGGUCAUGACCCAUGGCCUGACCCGGCUUGGUCAGCCCGGCCUGGCCGUGUCUUCCCAGGUUCACACCCAGCCCUGGCCCCUCUCUGCCCCCUUGCCAGGAAAUUUGAGUCCUCCUUAACGUUUCUCAAUAUUGUGGUUUUGUUUUGUUCUUUCUCAUUCAUUUGUCUUUUAAUUUUUGGCUUCCGUUUUUUAUGGGCACCUAAUUGUGUGUGUUCUAAAAAUUGAA